rnacentral:rRNA from 1 species
CUACGGGGGGCUGCAGUGAGGAAUAUUGCGCAAUGAGCGAAAGCUAGACGCAGCAACGCCGCGUGAGCGAUGAAGGCCUUCGGGUCGUAAAGCUCUUUUCUGGGGGAAGAGGAAGGACGGUACCUCAGGAAUAAGUGUCGGCUAACUACGUGCCAGCAGCCGCGGUAAAACGUAGGACGCAAGCGUUAUCCGGAUUUACUGGGGCGUAAAGCGCGUGCAGGCGGACCGUUAAGUCGUGCGUGAAAGCUCCCUGGCUCAACCGGGAGAGGUCGUACGAAACUGGCGGACUAGAGGACAGCAGAGGAGUGUGGAAUUCCGGGUGUAGUGGUGAAAUGCGUAGAUAUCCGGAGGAACACCAGUGGCGAAGGCGGCACUCUGGGCUGUACCUGACGCUAAGACGCGAGAGCAUGGGUAGCGAACGGGAUUAGAUACCCCCGUAGUC